rnacentral:tRNA from 1 species
GCGCCUAUAGUUUAAUGGAUAGAUCAUUUGACUACGGAUCAAAAGGUGUGGGUUCGACUCCUGCUAGGCGCG